GAAACUCGUCAGUCUAUUCUUGUUCUGAGAAAUGAAGGCUAUUCCAUGCGAGAGAUUGCCAAGAAACUGAAGAUCUCAUACAACGCUGUGUACUACUCCCUUCACAGAACAGGGCAAAGUGGCUCUAACCAGAAUAGAAAGAGUGGGAGGCCCAGGUGCACAACUAACAGGAGGGCUCCAAAAUGGCAAGGAAAUGUAAAGAGAACUAUUCUAUGACACUCCCCCCUUUGGAAUUAUUCUUAGGACAGAACAUGGACACAAUUCAAUUGGGAUCAAGAAGGAGAAAUGCUGAAGUAUCUGAAUGGUCUUUGGAGGAUGUCUUCCAGUGGCUUCAACAGAAUCAAUUGAAGGACUACACCUAUCUUUUCCAAGUUUAAAAAAAAUUGAAACACCUGUCAAAAUGCCUGCUUUGUUUAACUGCCCAAUAUGCAACAAGCGUUUCUUCUCCUUUAUAAAACAGAUUCGCCACAUUGGUCUAUAUCACCAGAGUGAGCCAGUGUUCCUGUUAACAUGUGGACUUGGAGGUCGCAUGAAAACCUGUAAAUGCUUUGCAUUUAUACAGAAAUCACAAAGAUUUGCUGAAAGAUAGGUCUAAUGGUUCUGUUAUCCCUGUGUCUGACUUCAUCGAGGAAGACGUGGACGAUGAUGAUCCUGAUCUCGCUUGGCUGCCUGCAACUAAUGUUAUUGAGUCCGUGGACUACAAAACUGAGGACCUGGUUAAAAGCCUUAAGAGAAACCUCUGCCUUCAUAUGUUGAAGAUCUGAGAGAAGCAUUGUGUUCCUGUGACUGUGCAGAACAGUUUAGUGGAGGACCUUCAUUCCAUUUUUGAUUAAUUCCUGUCCCACUACAGCGAGGAAUUUAAAUUCCACCUUCGGGAAGAUUCAUAUCAAUGUCGAUGAGGGCAAUGACUUGUGUGAGCUAAACCAGACAAAGGUUUUGAAGAGUGUAUGCGAAGCAUCACCGCAUAGUGGAUGCAGGAGCAAUACUGCUGCAAGAAAUGGGAAUAGCAAGACAGAGAGAGAUACAUCUGAGUGGUGAAGAACAGGACAGAGCCAGGACAGAGCCAAUACAUCCCACUACCUUACGUUUUGAAGGUGGCACAAAAUGGAGAUGUCUGGGCGAGCUUAAAUGGAGAAGAAGAAGAACCUGCAAACUAUUAAAUCUUGAAUGAUGUCACAGACAGGGAUUCUUUUCAAGAGGAAUCCUUUAUUCUCGCAAAAGCAAAUGGUCCGGCGUAAUUUUUAUAUACAGUUGAAGUCGGAAGUUUA
rnacentral:lncRNA from 1 species